UACGUAGGGGGCAAGCGUUAUCCGGAUUUACUGGGUGUAGAGGGAGCGUAGACGGCGAAGAAAGUCUGAAGUGAAAGCCCGCGGCUCAACCGCGGAAUGGCUUUGGAAACUUUUUUGCUGGAGUACCGGAGAGGUAAGCGGAAUUCCUAGUGUAGCGGUGAAAUGCGUAGAUAUUAGGAGGAACACCAGUGGCGAAGGCGGCUUACUGGACGGUAACUGACGUUGAGGCUCGAAAGCGUGGGGAGCAAACAGG
rnacentral:rRNA from 1 species